AUGCGAUAAGUAAUGUGAAUUGCAGAAUUCAGUGAAUCAUCGAAUCUUUGAACGCACCUUGCGCUCCUUGGUAUUCCGAGGAGCAUGCCUGUUUGAGUGUCAUUAAAUUCUCAAUCCUUUCUGGGUUUACUCUCAGUUGGGCUUGGAUAUGGGGGUUUUGCCGGCUUUGUAAAACAAACAAAGUCAGCUCUCCUGAAAGACAUUAGCAAGACUCUUGUUGCAACCUUCUAUCUGGUGUGAUAAUUAUCUACAUCAUAGAUUUGUACACUAUGUCUAGCUUCUAACAGUCCAUUAAAUUGGACAAAACUCUGACAAUUUGACCUCAAAUCAGGUAGGACUACCCGCUGAACUUAAGCAUAUCAAUAAGCGGAGGAAAAGAAACUAACAAGGAUUCCCCUAGUAACUGCGAGUGAAGCGGGAAAAGCUCAAAUUUAAAAUCUGGCAGUCUCU
rnacentral:rRNA from 1 species